GUGGGCUACGGCGACAUGAGGCCGGUGACGGUAGGGGGAAAGAUAGUGGGCUCUCUGUGCGCCAUCGCCGGCGUGCUCACCAUCGCGCUACCUGUCCCUGUCAUCGUGUCAAAC